rnacentral:rRNA from 1 species
UACGGGGGGGGCAAGCGUUGUUCGGAAUUACUGGGCGUAAAGGGCUCGUAGGCGGCCAACUAAGUCGGACGUGAAAUCCCCAGGCUCAACCUGGGAACUGCGUCCGAUACUGGAUGGCUUGAAUCCGGGAGAGGGAUGCAGAAUUCCAGGUGUAGCGGUGAAAUGCGUAGAUAUCUGGAGGAAUACCGGUGGCGAAGGCGGCAUCCUGGACCGGUAUUGACGCUGAGGCGCGAAAGCCAGGGGAGCAAACGGG